GCCGGAGACGGUCGGGUUUGCCAGGGCCGGGCGGGACCGCGGGGACCAUGGCGGAGCCGCCUCGGCACUAUUCACAAUAGCAAAGAUGUGGAAUCAACCUAAAUGCCCAUCAAUGGCAGACUGGAUAAAGAAAAUGUACAUAUGCACUAUGGAAUACUAUGCAGCCAUAAAGAAAAUCAUAUCCUUUGCAGAAAGAUGGAUGGAGCUGGAGGCCAUUGUCUUAAGUGAGAUAACACAGGAGUAGAAAACAAAGUGCCGUUCUCACUUAUAAGGGCGAGCUAAACACUGAGUAUAUAUGGAUACGAAGCAGGGAAUGAAUAACAGACAUUGGGGCCUACUUGAAGGUGGAGGCUGGGAGGAG
rnacentral:lncRNA from 1 species